GGGGGCGAAAUGGUUUCGACUGAAAAGGUAGAACUUCGGCCGCAUGCGGAGGAUGAUCGUUGGCCUCCUUAAUCAUCGGUCAAAAAAGUAACUGCGAACACUGAGUACGCACUCGCGGCAUAAGCCGCACGUCUCUCCCGCCACGCCUGAUAACGGGAGAGGCGAAAGCAUCAGGCUGGCAAGGGACGCCGGGCAGGCGGGCGUCACCGGCGAGAAGUAACAGCACGCUGCUUCCAUUAUGCGCCCGCCCGGCGCCUCAGUAAUGGAUUAAGACUUAAGCCGGGACUAAGCAUGUAGAAGUCGUCGCGAAACCUCUUCAGGACGCGGGUUCAACUCCCGCCGCCUCCACCA
rnacentral:tmRNA from 1 species